rnacentral:misc_RNA from 1 species
AAAAAAAAAAAAAAAACUUUAUUUUUAUGGUUUUUAUGAUGCUUGUCUUUUGCUUUAACCAAAAAUAUCUCAAUGCAGCCUCCACCUAUUGAGAAAUUUUUGUCCCAAUUUGAGAUUGUGUGAUAGGAAAAUAUCUAGAAAUAGAAAUUUUUAAUUAUUUGGUGAAACCUAUGCAUAUAUAAUUACCACCGUUGAUCAUGAUAAGAUCUAUGUGGGACCCACCUCAAUCUACUGUUAUAAUAAAAUCAUUGCACAUUGUAUAUAUUGGAUAAUUUUUCUUUAAAUGGAGACGAGGAAUUACCUUUAGAAAAAAAUACAAUACUUUCUUUCAGUUGGAGACUUGAGCAAAUCAUGCCAGUAUUUAAAAAAAAUAAUGUUCAAAUGUUGAUGUGCAGGGAUUUCUAUGACUUACCAAGAAUUCCAGUAUAGUAAG